rnacentral:lncRNA from 1 species
CAAAAAGCUGCUUCUUUCUUUUAAGGUCUCUGAGUUUUAUGCCCUAGAUGCAGAUCUGGUGCUGGAGGUUCUAUACAAGGUUUUUGGCACGCUGACCUGGCAGCCCACAGAGAAGCACGGCAGCUAUCAGUGCAAAGCGGCAGGGACCACGCGGCCUCGCCGGACCCAGCUUCAAACACAGCACAGGGCUCAGCAUGGGGCUUAGGGAAAAUGCUCUUACGGCAAUGAAGACCACCUUCAAACCAACUCUUGCAGCACUUUUGUAUGGGCUUUGUAUGCUGCCGUUAUCACUCUGAAAU